rnacentral:misc_RNA from 1 species
GAUGAAGAACGUAGUGAAAUGCGAUAAGUAGUGUGAAUUGCAGAAUUCCGUGAAUCAUCGAAUCUUUGAACGCACAUUGCGCCCUCUGGUAUUCCGGAGGGCAUGCCUGUUCGAGCGUCAUUAAAACUACUCAAGCUAAGGUUUUACCUUCUGCUUGGUCUUGGGUUUGAGGAUUCAAAAUCCUCUCUCCGAAAUCCAGUGGCGAAUUGUUUGAGCUGUAGACGUAGUAAAUCAUUCUACCCGUUGCAAGCGAGAAUAAUAUUCAGCCAUAACCCCCAUACUUUUCUAGUUUGACCUCGGAUCAGGUAGGGAUACCCGCUGAACUUAAGCAUAUCAAUAAGCGGAGGA